AAUUAAUUUUGUAAUUAUUCUAAAUAAUUUAUGGGCUAAUAUGUAAAUAAUAAAUAUGAUAUGUGGUUAUAUGAAUAGUCAAUUAUUGAAGUGGUCUAUAUUGAUUUUAUUGACUAUUAAAGGUAUCAGUAUAGUUAUAGGAUUACAGUGUAGAGACCCUUUAGUAAUUUCUAUUUUGUUAAAGGACCGAAAUAGAAAUUAACCUACCCAAUAGGGUUUUAUAAGGUCGUGGUCUCCGGGGAAUCAAAUAAGAGAGAACCCUAGUCUCCUUUGCUGUCGUUCUUUUCAAACUCUUAUUUGGUAUUCCUGGAAGACUGCAUACCUACUCUUGUGUACUACAAGAAUUUAAUUCAAUACACCAUGAUGUCAGGUACGCGUGUUUGAGUUUAUUUGUUCGAUUUAAUUCUUAAAUCUAGUGAAUGCAUGAUUUAGGGAUUUAAUGAGAUUUAUUGUUUUAAUCUCC
rnacentral:lncRNA from 1 species